ACCACUUCACUGUUCUGACACGCGCACAGCCGCUCCAGCAAGAGGGCGCCCGAACCGUCUAAACCUCCCUUCCUCCGGUUGAUUCCGGUUCGGCGGACUCCCGCUAUGCCGAAAUAAAAAGAACAACAACACCUGACGCGUGUCUCUGCGGCCCCGGAGCCCGAUGGAGACGUCAUGAAGAAGAGGAACUUCAUGUCGCGGCCCAGCGGAGAGAACUCUCACCUGGUUUAGAGUACAGGUCCUCCAUGUUGGGCCGUGACGUCACAGCGUCUUCUUCCUCGUCACGGGACAUAAACAAGAAAAGGACUUCCGCUUAGACCUUCAGAAUAAGAUGAGUUUUGAGUUUUUGAGCACAAAGUAAACUAAAAGUAUUCAUGUUUUUAUCAAGAUUCUAAUUGAUGGAAUAUUUCAUGUGAAUGUUUUAUAUUCUCUCCGUGUUCAUAAUAUUAUAUUAUCUUUCUGCUCCGGUGAUAACAUGUUAGAGUGAAAUAAACUUCAAACAUGUC